UCUUCAUUUAGCAGAUAAUGCACUCUGCCAGGACUGGGUCCUUCCCUUCAAGGCAGCAGGUUUGCUUCUGGCCCAAGGAAAGUCUAGAAAUGUCAUCCCGGAGGUAGGGCCUGAAAUGGGGGUCUCACAACUCUGACCGAUGCCCUAUCCUGUUGUGGCUGAGCUGGUAUCCAAGAUGCAAGACAAAGUCCUCCCCACUCUUCUCUCUCCUCAAGCAGAAUGAAGGGUCUCUUUUGGAGCUGCGGGCUGUGCAACCUGGGAUUGGAGGAGGGAUGAUGCCAGCACUCCCUUAGCUACACCAGCUGGUGUCUCAGUAUGUCACAUUGUGAUAUACUGGAGGCAACACAAGAUGGAGUCUCGUCGUGUUGCCAGGCCUCCAGUCCACUGUCUCUGGGUCCAGUUCAGUACUAGGACUUGCCUAAGACUUGUAGUCCUUGUGACCUAGACUACCUUUCAAGUUUUCUUAGAGACCCAGAGCCCCUUAGCCCUCGAUGGUGAGGUUUGUGGGAACUCAAGUUCGGACCGUCGGGAUUGGUGAUUCCUUCCUGGCUAGGGCUAGUUUAAAUGCUCUCUCUGUGGGCAGGAGUCAGCUGAGUUUGGUCUGGGUUUUCCUUUCUGCUCUAUUAGGACAUCACUGAGUUCAAUGCCUCAUGAUUGUUAUGCUUUUCCUCCCCCAGCACCCAGAGAUCCUCUCUGCACCACACCACCUUGUCUGCUGGGAAGUGGGGGAGGAGUGGCCUCAGUGAUUCAAGACUCUCCUUUCUACCUCUUGAGAGUGUCUUUCAGCAAUACGAAGUUGAAACCAGGGUCUCCCUCUGUAACCCAGCGUGGAGUGCAGUGGCACAAACAUGGCUCUCUGCAGCCUUGACCUCCUAGGCUCAAGCAAUCCUCCUGCCUCAGCCUUCUGAGUAGUUGGGAUCACAAGAGUGCACCACUGCAUCUAGCUAAUUAUGUUAUUUUACUUUUUAAAGAGACAGGGUCUCACUUUGUUUGCCAGGCUGGUCUCAAACUGCUGGGCUCAAGCGAUUCUCCUGCCUCAGUCUCCCAAAGUGGUGAGAUUAUAGGUGUGAACCACCGCUCCCAACCCUUUUGCCUAUUUUUUAGCUGAGUUGUUUGUUUUCUUAUUGUUCACUUUUAAGAGUUCUUUGUAUAUUUUGAAUAAUAUUUCUUUAUCGGAUGUGUCUUUUGCUUGAACUUAUUUCUAACUAUAUCUAGAUGAUGUUAUUAAACUGUAUGUCAUACUAAUUUAUUGUAGAUUAUGUAAUAUAUCUCUGAGCCUUUUAGAUAUCAUGUACAUUAUACACAUUACAGCUGAGGUAAAAAUAUGUUCCAAUAACUUUAUUAAAGUUUGUCUCAUAAGACAUUUGAUUUUAGGAAAUUAUGGAUAAUAUUCCUAAUUCUAAUUAUCUUCUUUGUUUUAUUAGUUUAUCAAAUUGGC
rnacentral:lncRNA from 10 species